GGCUCCCGCGAGGGGGAGGUGAAAGCGGCUGCGCGCACUCGCGCGUGCGUGAGCUGGCGCGCGAGGAAAGGCCCGGUCGCGCCGAGGCUCGAGCGGCGGUCGCCAUUUUGUAAGGUUCUCUCUGACGCGGGAGCCGCCGCCACCGCCGCCGCCAUCCGGAGGCUCUUGUCAGGAUGGUGAAGCUGUUCAUCGGAAACCUGCCCCGCGAGGCCACAGAGCAGGAGAUCCGCUCACUCUUCGAGCAGUAUGGGAAGGUGCUGGAAUGUGACAUCAUUAAGAAUUACGGCUUCGUGCACAUAGAGGACAAGACGGCGGCCGAGGAUGCCAUCCGAAACCUGCACCACUACAAGCUUCAUGGGGUGAACAUCAAUGUGGAAGCCAGCAAGAAUAAGAGCAAAGCUUCAACCAAGUUACACGUGGGCAACAUCAGUCCCACUUGUACCAACCAAGAGCUUCGGGCCAAGUUUGAGGAGUAUGGUCCAGUCAUCGAAUGUGACAUCGUGAAAGAUUACGCUUUUGUCCACAUGGAGCGGGCCGAGGAUGCAGUGGAGGCCAUCAGGGGCCUGGACAACACAGAGUUCCAAGGCAAAAGAAUGCACGUGCAGUUGUCCACCAGCCGGCUUCGGACUGCUCCUGGGAUGGGGGACCAGAGCGGCUGUUACCGGUGCGGGAAAGAGGGGCACUGGUCCAAAGAGUGUCCGGUGGACCGCACGGGGCGCGUGGCAGACUUUACGGAGCAGUACAAUGAACAGUACGGCGCGGUGCGCACGCCCUACACCAUGGGCUACGGGGAGUCCGUGUACUACAACGACGCCUACGGCGCCCUCGACUACUACAAGCGCUACCGCGUGCGCUCCUACGAGGCCGUGGCGGCUGCGGCGGCCGCCUCCGCCUACAACUACGCAGAGCAGUCCAUGUCCCACCUGCCCCAAGUCCAGAGCUCGGCCGUGACCAACCACCUCAACUCCACCUCGGUGGAUCCCUACGACAGACACCUAUUGCAGAACUCGGGGGCGGCCGCCACCUCAGCCGCCAUGGCCGCCUCCUCUUCGUCUUACUACGGAAGGGACAGGAGCCCGCUGCGCCGCUCGGCAGCCGCGCUCCCGGCAGUCGGCGAGGGCUACGGGUAUGGGCCAGAGAGCGAGCUGUCUCAGGCCUCCGCAGCUGCACGGAAUUCUCUGUAUGACAUGGCCCGGUAUGAGCGAGAGCAGUAUGUGGACCGAACACGGUACUCAGCCUUUUAAAAACUGGAGGUGAGAGUGGGGUGGGCGUAGUUAAGAUUGCACCUAGUUCCCUUGCAAGAGAACUUUUCUUCAUCGAGGAGGCUCCAGCCACUUGUUUGCUGUCAGAACUGUACCCAAAAACUAGUUUUGCAUAUUUCUGCAGCUUAGGCCUGUUACACGGGUUUGUUUGGCCUUGUUGGGGUUUUAGUGCUUGGCCCAGUUCGUUAGUGUGAACAUUCUUUAAUCAGUUGUUUAAGCAGAUUUGGGGCACGGGAUACAUUUGAGGGAACUAGUAGUUGUCAGGUACCCGUGGUGCAUACUGUCAUCUAGACAAUAAGGAUUUUGGCCGACAGACAAGACCCGGGGCUCAGAGACAUUCAGUACUUUGUCCUAAGUCAUUGGGUAAAUGAGAGGUAGAGCCCAAAUUCAAACUCAGACCAAGCUAAAACUCAUGUUCUUUCCACUGUGAAGGUCACUGUAGUCUUAAGCAGAAAGGAACUACUGAUGCUAUCACAGGAAGAAUGUUAACUAAUUUUAGGCAUCCAGUUUAAAACUGUUUCUUGGGUCAUUAAGACUUCAUCAAAGUAUCCUAUCUGCAAGCUAGAUCAAGUCCUAUAAAGGUUUCAUUCUGUGAUGCUUGCUUCAGUGCCAAACAUUCCGAUGCUGUCCUGUGUAGUCCUUUUCCUCACUCAGAUCCUAAACCUCUGUAAGCCCUCUCUCUGAAGCCUGUGCUACGUGUCCCAUUUCCUUCUGCAGUUGUUUUUGUAGAGAAUACUUAAGGAAUUAGAUAAACUGGUAAUUUUCUGACAUGCAAAAAAAAAUCCCAUAGGUAGGAACUGAAAUUUUAAUGUUUCCUUUGAAAUAUGUACCAAAGGUAUUAGAAUGGCAAGAAUAAGUAGGAGUGUGUAGAGAUGGGCCAAAUCAUCAAAAUGCAUAUGGCAGCAUGACAACUUUAUAUACUCAUGGUUUUCUUUGUACUUUGAAAUUGAGCAUCCCUUCGAAGCCACUGAGCUUCCAGAUUCCUAACUUACCUCCUCCCCUCUCUUGAUGUAUGUGUGUACAAGAAAACAAAGUUACAGCAACUUGCUCUUUGUAAAGUGAGAAGCAAAUGUGACCCGAACGUUGAUAAAUUAUAUGUCCUACAUGAUUACAUUAGUAAGACUUGGGAUUUCCUGAGACCGUGUGCAGCACUGUGUCCAUCUUAGAACCUGUGGAGUUUGCUGUUAAUUUUCACAGUUGGAUCUACCAUGAGAUACCUAUGAAGUGUGAACCUCAGAUGGACUGAAUAACCCUGAGUUGGUUGCAGUCCCAGGAGCCUGAUGUUAAUGAGGCUGCCAGAAUGAAAUACUCCAGAACUGUUGGGGAUCCAAAUUUGGGUCUCACCCUAGCAGAACUGAUCCAAGAACAUCACAACUUUUGAAGUGGAUUGGCAAAGAUCAAGACCAAGAUUUGGCUCUUUGUGUGUAAUAAGUAGAGGAACUUGGUGUGAGUUAACUUUUUUGUUUUUCUCCCUCCCAGCCAUUGGUGGAGUUCCUGUCAUCAAUGGAAGAAUUAGAAAAACCUAGCAGUCAUUUCUUCUUUUGACUUGGUCAAUUAGGGGAACUACUGGCACUAUGGAUCUACCUCUAAUACUGUGACAUGUAGUUGUGUGUGUUGUAGAUGGACAAACGACAAACCACUUGUGACAAACCCUUUGUGACUAUCAUUUCAGAAAGUUUAUGUGAAAGAUUAGAAUGAUACAUUUAGAAUAGUGCAGCUGAGCUAGGCCCAGUGGGGUGUAGGUAUAGUCAUAACUACUUGGAAGGUCAGCUUGAGCUCAAGAAUUCAUAGCUAAACUGGGCAACAUGGUAUGGCCGUGUUCUGUCUUUAAAAAGAGCAGGCAGGGUUGCUUACACGACUCUUUGGCUGGGGGUGUGGCUCAAGCACAGGCCCCAAGUUCAAACUCAAAGGAAAAAGCAAAUGGAGCAGUUGACUAUCUGAGAUCUCAGCACCUUCUGCUUUUCCUGAAUUCCCAAAUUAGCCUGAAAUUCUUGAUCAUGUAUGCCUUUUGUUGAAACCUGCUUAAAACAUGGGUAAGAAAAUGAGAAAGUGGAACUUACCACCACCACAGAAGUCUUCCACUUAGAUUGCAUAUUGUUCUAUACAUUGCUGUAAGUGGUUCUUAUAGAUAGCUAUUAAGAGUCCUGGGUUAAUUUUGUGGGAUACAUUUGAUACAGUCUGACUUGGUUUUGUUUUGUUCUUUGUUUUUCCCCGCCCCCGCUGGAAUACAGGACGUGACCAGGGCCCUUGUACACGGAGCCAGGCUGCUGUCCAGGCAUUGUGUAAGCCUCUUGUGUUGUGCUCUCUUUCAGGUAGGAUAAUUGCGGACUGAACCCUCGGGCUGCGGUCAUAUAUGAGAACUUGCUCCGCGCGGUCCCCUUUGCCGGGAUGUUUCCAUUGCUUCAUGUUUCAGUAAACAAAGGAGUUUGUGACCAACUAUGUUUUCUUUCUUAAUUUAAUUCUUCUAAGUUGACUUUUCUUUCCUUCCUGAUGCUAGUAUCUGUAGCUUUUCACUGUUCCUUAUAUCCUCAGCCUCUGAACAGCCCUAGGUAAGGAUUAUGCUGGCAUCCCCUUCCUCCAUGCAGUGGAGCCCUCUGAUCUUGCUUUCCCUAGGAGUUGAGCCCUUCUCCCUGCCUACCUGCAGCAUCUCCUUUCCCUUUAAAAUGACCAUGUAGUGGCAAGCAGCCCUUGCUCUUCUUUGUUAGCUCUGGACUCUAACAUGGAAGCUAAUCUUUGAAAUUGCUAGGACCAUUGGGGGUUUUGUUGUUGUUUUGUUUGUUUUGUUUUUUGUCUUACCUGUGAUCGUGAUACAGCAUUAGCUGAAAUUUAGCCUUGUUUUACUCCACUCCUCCCAUUUUUUUAUUUUUUGACAAAUAAACGUUUCUAAC